UACGAAGGAUCCAAGCGUUAUCCGGAUUUAUUGGGUUUAAAGGGUGCGUAGGCGGCUUUUUAAGUCAGUGGUGAAAGCUCCAUGCUUAACAUGGAAAUUGCCAUUGAUACUGAAGAGCUUGAGUACACUUGAAGUGGGCGGAAUAUGUCAUGUAGAGGUGAAAUUCUUAGAGAUGACAUAGAACACCGAUUGCGAAGGCAGCUCACUAAAUUGUAACUGACGCUGAGGCACGAAAGCGUGGGGAUCAAACAGG
rnacentral:rRNA from 1 species